AGUCCCAGGGCUCAGGGCCCCCUGGCAACACUCUACUUGGGCCUCUCAAAAACACUCGGGGAGGCUCCAUCCAUCACGGACACCAAAAAAGACAGAGCUUCCAAUUAAUUCACCAAAGCAAAAACUUUUUACCUGUGAACACGAUCUACAGCCCUACGAGCAGGGAAACUACAAGAUGAUGAAGAUGACAAUAUGCACCACAUUUAACCCCUCCAAGCCAUUCUACACCGUCACUGAGACGCACACCUACUCGUGCAAGUACAAGCGCCAGCGCCAGCGCCAGUGCCCAGAUCAGUGCCCGUGCCCCUUUCCGUAUCCAUGCCCGUGCCCAAAUCCAUGCCCAUGUCUGUGCCUGUGCCCAAACCCGUGCCCAAGCCCAUGCCCAAGUCCUUGCACAAGCCCGUGCCCUAGCCCGUGCCUAAGCCCGUGCCCAAGCCCGUGCUUAAGUCCAAGCCCAUGUGCCACCCCGAGUCUAUGCACGAGCCCGAGUCCCUGCACGAGCCCGAGCCCCUGCACCAGCCCGAGUCCGUGCCCGAGUCUGUGCCCGAGUCUGUGCACGAGCCCGAGUCCCUGCCUGAGCCCGAGCCCCUGCCUGAGCCCGAGCCCCUGCCUGAGCCCGAGCCUCUGCCUGAGCCCGAGUCUAUGCACGAGCCCAAGCCCAUGCCUGAGCCCGAGCCCGCGGCCAAGGCCACGCCGACAAAUCUGCGUCAAGACCUACGAAUGCGACAGCCGAAGCAGCAGGGCAAGCGAAGGCAAUAGCAGCAAACAGUCCUACUCCAAGUGCUCGUGCACCUGCUUGUACAACUCGGCCCGCUCGGCCCGCUCGCCCAGCAAGUCCCGGCACAAAACCAAGGAGACCUUCGUGGUCUCACGCCCACGCUCCCACUGACCGUGAGAGCUGCCUCUCCUUGGCACAACUGUGCACCCAGGAAAGGGCUCGGCGGAAGGUCUUGGGAUCUGGCUAGAUAGGAAGAAUUUCUAAGUCUUUGUAAAACAGCUGGCCCGGGAUGAGUUACAGUUGGUUCUUCUGGCAGACAAAGGUCUAUUCUUGCCCCAUCCCUUCACGGGAUUCCUGGAUGUUUGAGGAGCCUGUAGGACAAAAUGUCCAUCAAAUACUGGAAGCUUUCCCUGGGGCCUGAAGAGGUGGUGAUGAAAAUGAGGCCGGUCCCUGAAAAUGACAACAUAUGACCUAAGCACAAGAGAUUCAAACUCUGAGGAUGGAUAAUGGAAGAAGAGAGACAGAAAAAGCUACAACAAACCAACUAGAAACUGUUCUCAAAACAAAGGCCUUGGAAAAUGUCAGAAAUGCCUCUGUAAUUGGGGAGAGGGCAAAGGGAAAUGUUGCUCAAUAUUGGAUUUCUAAAGGAAAUAGGUUAAGAACAGAAUAUCCUGAUCCAUCAUACUGUUGUGUGUAAACUUCACAGUUUACAAGGUGUUUCAGUGUUUACAAAUCAUUUUGCCAUUUACAAGGCACUAGGCCAUUUUAUAAGGCACUUCACAGUUUACAAGGUGCUAUACUAUGUAGAAGACACUUCACUGUUUACAAGUUGCUUUCAGAGCUUACAAAAUGUUUUAUAUUCAUUAUUCAACAACAAUUUUUUCAAGCACUUAUGCAUAAAACACUGCCCAAGGUGCUAAGAGAGAUACGAAGAUAAUUCAGAUGUGUUUUGUUUUCUAAGGCUUGCCCAUCACAUUAUUUCAUCUGAUCUUGAGUGAAAAUAUAACAGGGGUGAAGAUCAUCAUCCACAUUCUACAGAUAAGGAAACAUAAGCCUGGUGGCAGAGCUGGCUUUUGAGUACAUGAGUUCUAAUCCUGCUUCUGUCAUUUUCUCCCCAUGUGCCAUGAGUAAGCUAGAGGCAGCUAGGUGGCCCAGUGCAUAGAGAGCACUAGCCCUAGAGUCAGGAAGAUCUGAGUUCAAAUCCAGCUUCAGACACUUACCAAGUCAGAAGGCCCAUUUAACCCCUGCUUACCUCCAUUUCCUCAUCUGUAAAGUGGAGAUACCACCACCUCUCAGGGUGUCUGUUAGCAUCAAAUGAGAUAAUUAUAUUUACAAAGGGCUUUGCAAACCUUAGUGUGAUAGAAAUGCCAGGGAGCUCUUGGUCUCCUCUUCAGUAAAAUAAAAAGGUUGGGCUUCAUACCUCCUUCAGUCCCUCCCACCCUUCGUUCUAGGAAGCUAGGAUCCUGCCAGCUCAACAUUCUUUUUGUCAUCCCCCACUCACUGCCUCCAUAAAUGGGCACUCAGUGCUGGUACCAAGAAUAAAAAGCAGGAUCAGCUUCUCCAUACCCUGGCCUGGAACCAUACAGGAAUGUGUAGAGUCAUUCCUGGCAUUGCCGCCACUCUGGUGGCAUGUUGGGCACAAGGGAUGGCAAAUGUACAAUGCCUAGGUUUCCCUAUAUCUGUCCAGAAGCAUCCAAGGUUACAAGAGGCUGAAGAGGUUUGCCUUCUCCCAAGAAGGUCGACUCAAAUCUAUGGUGCUUUACUGAGCGCUUAUUGUGGACACACACUUGGCAUUCUCCAUCCAUAGACCUUGGUUUUCUCAGUUGUAAAAAGAGUUGGAUUAGGUUAUCUAGAAGGUCCCUUUAUUUUGUAAAGAGAGACUUGUAGCGUACUGGAAAGAACAGGGAGUCAGAAGGCCCACUUUAGUUGUGUCUCUUGAUUUUUCUAUUUACCGUCAUCACCACUGUUGUCAUCUUAACUCUACCAAAUCACCCUCGUCAGAAUCACCGCCAUAAGCUCUUCCUCUCUGCUCUAAUCACCGACAUCAUCACCAGAAUCCCCACCAGCAUUCUCUUCCCUUCUGCUUUCAUCACCAGCAUUAUUACUAGAUCACCAUCAUCUUUCUUCCACUCACAAUCACCAAUGUUAUCACUAAAAUCACCACCGCUUUCCUUCCACGGUCACCAACGUUAUCACUAGAAUCGUUAUCUUCUUCCUCCCUACCAGAAUUACCAUCAUCCUCACUGUCACCCUCCCUUUCAUCAUCACCAGAUUCACUAUCAUUGUAAUCACAAUGAUCACCUCCAGUAGCAGCACCACCAUCACGGUUGUCCUAAGAAUCGUCCUCUUCACAGUGGAUGUUUAUAUAAUGCUUCAAGGAUUUGCAGAGUGCUUUGCAUCCCAUCAUAAUCGUCUCACCAACACCACUGUCACUGUUAAUAUCACCCUUAUCAUCUUAAUUAUGAACACCACUGUCACCAUUAUCAUCCCUACAAUUACCAUGACAUCGUUAUCAUGUUACAUUCUCUCACCUCCACACCUUUGCUUACACCAUUUCAUUUGCCCUGAAUGUCUUCCCUCCCUCUCUGACUAUUGAAUUCGUAUCCAACCUUUAAAGCCCAACUCAGAUGCCACCUCUUCCAGGAAACCCUCCCCAUCCUUCAGCUCCAAAUGAUCUCUGCUUACUCUGACCCCAUCCCAAGGCAUCUUCUUUGUCCCUCUCUUACACAUUUACCUCAUAAUAUUCUGUAUUAUAGCUGUCUGUGUAUUGUAAUUGUCUCUUAGUUUCUUCUCCUACUCUACAAGGACAGAGAACAGUCUGAUCUAAAUUUUGUGUCUCCCUCACAGAUUCACACAUUUAAUAAAAGCUUAUUGACUGGAUGGCUCAUUGGUUAGGGGAGGAGGAGGGCACAUACUAGGAAAUGAAGGUGAUAUAAAAACAAAAGGCCUCUAUAAAAAUGUCAAUACAUCACAUUGGUCACUGUAAGCAACAACCCAUUUGUCUCCUCAUUGGGAUUGUUUCUCUUUGUGCUCUCAGAAUUUCUUUCUAGACAUCCCAUUCCCUCCAAAGCUAAUGUCCCAUGUCCACAAAAUCCUACCUCUCAUCCCUGAACUCUUUAUACUGGGCUUUCUGAAAAUCUCAGAUAUUUGUCAGACCAACAGAGGCUCUCUCAUCCUCAAUCAUAAAUUCUUUUUUUGGUAAAUAUUAUUUUAUUUUUUCCAAUUACAUGUAAAGACAGUUUUCCACAUUUAUUUCUUAUAAGAUUUUGAGCUUCAAGUUUUUUCUCCCUCCCAUCUCUCCUCCCCAAGCUGGCAAGCAGUCUGACAUAGGUCAUACAUGUGCAAUCAUGUAAAACACAUUUCCACAUCAGUCAUGUUGUCAAUCACAAAUUCUUAAAGGAAGUGAAUGGUCACUUCCUCCCAAGUUCCCACUUGGCUUUAUACACCUCUGGUGCUGCUACGUAAUGUUGUAUAUGUAUUUGAUGCAUAUGUCCUUUAAUAUGUAUGUGUAAUUUAUGUAAUAUUACACGUGAUACUUAUGUGUGCUCAAGUCUCACCCUCCUCCUAGACUCUGAGCUCCAUGAGGGCAGAGUUGAUAUCUAAAAGCCGUCUCUCUCAUAGCUCCCAGCAUAGGGCCCUGCACACAGAAAGCCCUUAAAAACAUCUCUGUUGAACUUAAUUGAAUGAAAUGGAAUCAAUUAACUCUGAGGGAGCAGCUUCAGGGCCCCCUCUCCUCUGGGUGGCCUGCCAGGCUGCGACAGGAUGCCUUUCUUCUGGGGAGAGUAUUUUUCCCAAAAUGGAAAAUGACUUGAUUCAGAUCGGGCUGUGCUUCUCAGCUUCUCCUCACUCUGUUUGGGGGCGUUUAUGGUCAAAGCAGAUGCCAAACACAUCCUUCAAAGGAGAAAGAGCUUGGGCCUGUGGCCCAGCUCCAUGCAGAAGCUUCGGCAGAAAGACCACAUUGGAAUAUCAAACUUGGACAUUUUUUUCCUCUUUUGACAAACAACCUAUUUGUUUAAAAAGCCAUUUUUGAAAACCACAUUUUUGGGCUAAAGGUCUGUGAGGCAGCUUUGUUCAGCAGCCUUGGCCUUUCCCUCUCUCUGGUUAUUAGAGAAGCUACGCCUGCAGCCACUCGUGAUGAGGUCCAAGGAAAACCAGGUUGUGGCCUACAAGAGACAGGAUCCCCUGGGCCUUUCCAGCACCCUUGUGGCUGGUGAAAUGUUUGUGCAUGGGGGCAUACUUUGGGGUGUCUGUACUUGUGUUUUUAUGUGUCUGCCUGUACAUGCGUAUGUUUUAGUAUGCAGAUGGAACAUGGAGUAGGGAAAAGAGGGCUGGACUGGGUAUCACCAGCCCUUAGUUCAAAUCCUGAGCUCUGCAAGCCCCUCAGGCUCUCUGGGCCUCAGUUUCUCCAUCUGUAAAACAAGGGGUUUGGACUAAAUGGCCUCUGAGAUCCCUUCCAGCUCCAGAACUAUGAUUCUUCAUGUUUGUGUAUAAAUAAAUAAUAAAGAAAGAGGCCUUCUCUGCACAUUAGGAUCUGGCCCUUCUAUCCCCACUUGCUUUGUCAUGGACGUUUAAGCUUUUCUCUACUUGAGAUUUAUUUCCUGCAAAUAUUCUAGUAAUAAAAUGACUUGCCUACUAAUAAAAGUGUAUGCACACAU